UUUCUGGUGCCAGAAUAUAUUUGGAACUGUGAUUUUUUUUUUAAAAAGCAUAUUAUAUCAUGCAUGCCCUCCUCACUGCUGCCACACCUUGCCCACUGUCUGAAGAGUUUGUGGGCACCCCUGGGGCGGCCGGGCCGUGCUCUGUUACACUCGCCCCGCGAGGGUGGUUUGGAAACUUUUGAUCCUCCGGGACGAUGCUGCAAAUGCCUGCGGGUGUGCUUGUGCUUCUUUCUGACUGUUCUCUUAGGAUCAUGUCUGGGAGUGGCACUGCUGGGCGGCCACGAUGGUCCGGUCCCCGGUCACUUCUCCAGGCCACGCCCCGGGCACCCCCAUCCCUCUGCAGUCACACGGGCUCCCUGCUGUCCUCAGGGCCUGGGCACUGCCGCUCCUAGAACGCACUUCUGCCCGCCGUUCCCGCGGCUCCUGUGCUGCAUCCAGGGCUCUGCCCAAAUGUCGCCUCCUCAGACAGGGCUGGCCUUGCUUUCUCUGCCGGGGUCUGGCCUUACUGUUCUUGGGGGCGUUUGUCACCACGGCCCCGAAUGCCAGUGGCGCCUCAGUCUAGACCGUUAGCGCCGGGUGGGCCAUGUCUGCUGCAGCAUCCUGUCUCCAGCGUCCUGCAGGGGCCUGGUGCACAGGACAGCUUGCCGAACGAACGUUCCAGGUCUUCUGACACGGAUUUCCGGUUUGUUUACAGACGGUGUGGCCAUUUCCCAGCCCCCGUUAAGGGCCCCUGUGAAGGUGCCCGGCUCCAGAGGCAGCGUGGGCUGUGGGGCUCCCGUUCUGGGUGUCAGUGUGGUAGGGCUGGGGUAGGUCUGAUGGCAGAAAGGGCUUCUACCCUUAGAAGGGACACUUUAGGCCCCGUGUGACCCCUGGAUCCUAGGGAUUUCAGGCACCAAGCACGGACGGAGCCACUCCCUCCCCACAGAGGACAAGCCCACCCCAGACGCCGGAGCCCUGCGGCCCGGUGGCCUGCCCACUGUCCCCCCACCCUGACUCAGGCAUCACAGCUCUGGGCCACCAUCCCACUGUGACCCAGAAGAGCAGGCGAAGGGAAUCGGCUUGUGUGCCUGCAUGUUUGAGGACAGUUUCUCAGGACAGAACCUUCCUCCCGUCACAGGGGUCUGGCCGGACGGCCCCUGCUGCUGGUGACUCGGGGGUGAGCAGAGGACACCGCGAGCCUGUGUCUCCAGACCGACUGUGUCACCACCUCGCUGUGUGUGUGAGCCGGGCGGCCCCCCUCUGAGUCUGGGCGUUGUCGUGUGGACUUUCCAGGCGGGACAGAGGUUUCACGGAGCUGAGGGUGCUGCAGGGGGCUGAUGGCUUCUCAGCACCACCUCAGUUUCCCGCUGAUGGGUGAAAACCGGGGCCACCCUUCACGCCCGGGACCCCUGGAGCCUGCUGGUUGCUCGUUCCCUGGAGUUUCCCUUGGGAAGCCGUGUCUUGGGGCUUACUUUCACGAGCCUGUUGAUGGACUUGGCCCCCCAGGACCUGGGAGCUAAACCACCACGGGGGACGGUGAAGGGCCUGACCUUGGCUUUCAGGCCUGGGGGGCCCUGGGAACGUGGCGUCUACACCCCAGGAUGCGUGUUCUCACUUCCAUCAUGGGCACAGGGGUGGGGGAGCCGUCGAGGUUAAAGAGAGAGAUGAAUGGAGAAGCCUGCGGGCUGUGUCUGGUGCCUGGGCACGACGGACACUGUGAGAGCCGGAGAGGUGGCUCCAGAGGGCGACCAGGGGGCCUCAUGCCGCAUUUGGUUCCCAUGGGAGGCAGCCGGGUGGGGCGAGGGGCCCGGGGGGCCGGGGUCACUCUCGGGCCCCUUGGAAGAGGGAAGCCGUUCCCUCCUGGCCAGCAGCCAGUCUGGUCUGGGACAGCCUCCGGUCCCCGGGCGCCACCUCUGUCGCAGGGGUCGGUGAAACGCCCACCCUAAGUCAUGUUCAGGCCGCAUGAGACUCAAGGCGACUGUGAGAGGACCUCACGAGGGCAGGUGGGGGUGCUCCCAGGAACACACCCCACUCUGAGGGCUCACGUGGAAAGGGGGGUGUCCAGAGUAACCCUGCCCACACCCUGGGGAGGGGGAAGAGCGCCAUCUGAGAGCUGAGGACCCAGGGCUCCAAGACGGGGCGCCGUGGGGAUUCGGCCCCAGGGCUGCCUGAGCCAGGAGCCGGCAUUUUCAGUCCAGUUGGCAGGGACACAGCCCACGUGCCACUGUCCUGCUGCUCUCGGGCCGGCCCUGCCUGGCCCACCGGGCCGUGCUAUGUCCACGGCGAGCAGAGAUCUUGGUCGGGCACUUAUUCCUGGGGCUCGCCCCAGACAGAGGGCUCAGCCGGGCCUGGGCAUCUGCAUUCAGUGAACUCAGCCGGUGAUCCCGGGGCAGGCGGCUAAAGACACAGAGAAACCACGGCCCUGGGGGAGCCGAGCCACCCCUCGCUCAUCUUCCCCAAACCCUGACCACACAGGGAAGCAUCUGACGGCGAGGGGCCGGCACCUGUGCAAGCCGCAGCCUCCCCCACAACCAGUACGAGGAAAUCCUGCUUUCACUGGUGCUCGUGAAAAUCAGGAGACAGAACCCGUGGACCCCUAGGUCUGGGAGGACACCCAGACAUCAUGCAAUGAUGGGGCUUUUUUCCUGCUUGAGAGUUUUGAGAAAACUGAGUGCAAUUUUCGAGCAGCUUUCAGUUCAGAGCAAGACUGAGCGGAAAGUGGUGAGAGUUGCCCCAUACCCCUUGUCCCUGUCGGCUCCCCCCAGGGUGCCCCAGCCACCCCCAUGGCCCACAGGUGGCACACGCCUUACAACGGGUGAACCUACGCGAGCACACCAUCAUCACCCAGAGUCACCGUCCUGACCUUACACACGCUGCAGGUUUGGUCCAGCGCUGAAUGACAUGUCCCCGCCAGUGGAGGGUCACACAGAGUGGUCACAACCCCUACCCCUCCACCCCUCAUCUCUCCCUCUCAGUCGUCUGCUUUGUAGACUGGAAAAGCCAGUCCCUGGCAGAUGAAUCAAGGCUCAGGACGCACAUGGCAGCACACGUGUGAGUGAACUACUUGGGGUAGGGGGAUAAAGUAAUGUAAUGGGUUGUUAAAAAAUCAUUUAAUAAAGUGAAAAAAUAAGGAAUUUGAAAGAUCAGAUGCUUCAAAGAAAGUCGGGCCUUUUAAAGGGAAUACAAACUGGGAGAAGUCUAACUGGCUCUGCAGAGAAACAAAAUGGUGCUCGCCAAUUGCCGUGGUGUAAAUACGCGCCCUUGGGCUGCUUUCAGUACUGCUGUGAUGCCCUGAGCGCGGGGUGGGGAGAGGGGCACAGCGUUGGCGCCCACGCGGCACUGGGCCUGCACAUCUCAGGGGAGUGGACUCAGACCUUUCUGAAGAAUAGGAAAGACCCGGGUCUCGAGAGGUGGCAGAGGUGGAAAAAUUGGCCACGAGUCUCUCAGGAGAUUAGCAGCAAAGCCAGUGUCGGAAUCUGGCUUCCGACCCCCAGGCAGAUGAGUUCUUGUCCCCCCAGGAUGGCCUGAGUCAAUUCGCUAAGUUCAAGUAGCGAAUAAAGUUGUUGUGAAUAAAAUGACACUGUGGGCCCCACCGCCACACAGAACAUACCAUAGACAACAAGCUCUAUGUUCAAGCCUUAGAUGCAUUCCAGCCGUCAUCCGCUUACUCAUAAGCUAAUUAAGAAAUUAUUUACUGAACACUGGCUCCCCGCCGGCACCGCAGGAGCGAGGGAGGCGUCCCUCGUGCUCCUUGGGCCUCAUGAGGCCAGGGGCUCACGGAAGCCACGAUGGAAAGCAAGACGGGGCUGGAGGCUCCUGGACUUUCCCAGGCACUUAUCACGCGGCUCGGCAGGUGUCUGGUGACCUCCGGCACAGCUGGCCCAGGACCUACCUGCUCAGCACAGGCGCACAGGGGACAUUCAGGGAACGAGGGGGCUGGGCUCCGACAGGGCUCCUCCCUGGGGAGGGGGCUCUGACUUGUUUCCACCCUCAUGCUGGUCUUUCUGAUCCCACUGGCAUCCAUCACCCGAUUCCAAGGUCGGCUGAGGAGGAGUCUGGUCAUUGACCAAGACGCUAACCGGGCCCUGGCGGGACGCACCAAAGGCGACCUUGUGGUAGAAGGUUGAGUUUGGAAUCUGACCAACAUGGGUUCAAAUCCCAUCUCCCCCCCACUCACCCUGUGGGCUUGAGGAAGUCCCUUCUGCUCGCUGAGCCUCAGUUUCUCCAUCUGUAUAAGGGGGUGAAACGGCUCCCUCCCAACGUGGGACGGGAAGAUCAGAGAUAAUAUAUUCACUAAGAAUAGCUUGAGUCUGGCCCAGAGAGGGCGCUUAGAAUUAAAAACAUAAUUAAGGCAAUAAACAUCAAAUCUAGCAGAAAUCUCAGCAAGCUGAAGGAAAAGGGACCUGGGGGUUGCUCU
ensembl:lncRNA